UUGUGUUCACUUUGACAGCUUUAAAAUUGGAACAACACAGAGAAGAUUAGCAUGGCACUGGCACAAAGAUGGCACACAAAUUCGUGAAGCAUUUCAUAUUAAA